UUCCCAUAUUAAUCACUUUGUGGAAGGAAUCUAAAAUUUUUAAAAAUUGAGGAAAAAAAGGAAAAAGGUUUGCUUUGAUCUGGAUUUCAACAUUUCACAGUUGUUUUUCUCUGGAACCACAUGACAUUGUUAAGUUAUGAGUCCUUUUGGAUAGUUUUUAGAUCAUUGUCUAGCUGGGGAAAACUGUUAUUCACAGUUUCCAGUCAUUUCCUGUAUUUUACAAAACUUCAUAAGUUUCAGUUUCAUGUUUUAGGUUCAAACAGUAUUUUUUAAAAUAAUAUUUUAUUUGAUCAUUUCCAAGCAUUAUUCAUUAGAGACAAAGAUCAUUUUCUUUUCCUCCCCUCCCCCCCCAGCCUUUUGUUUUUCUGUUUUUGAUUUGAACCCAUUGCCAUGUUGUUAGUAUUUGCAUUAGAAUGUUUCAAACAGUAUUUUUGUUACACAUCCUUAUCCUGGUCUGUAAAAAGUUUGAUCAAAAGUCUAAAAGUGGAGUCCCAGGAAGGAAGUGGAGACUGAUGGCUGGGAGCUCAGAGCUAGAAGGUGAGUACAGACCAGUGUCCCUGCUCCCUGCCCUGGGCUCUCAGAGGAGUGGUUCAGCCCAGCUUUCAGAUGCGGUGCAGAACAGUUUUUCAGUCUCUCCCACCAUUCUGCGUGUACGUCCCUUCCCCAACCAGUCUGUCCUCUCUCCCCCAGUGUUCUCCCCUCUCCGGCCGGUCCCUCCAGUGGCCCGCCUCGGCUCUCGAGUUCCUCCUCCCACUGGCCCACUGCUCCUCUCGCUCCCGUCCCCCGCCGCACUGGCCACCUCCCUACACCCCUCUCCACGUCCGCGCCUGCUGCGCUCUCCCACGCGACUUCUCCCCCGUGUGCCGCCACGGCUGCUGCUUCCCGGCCGGCUUCCCCGGCUGGCCGGCUUCUGGUGGCCCUCUGCGGGAAGACGACGGCUGUAUCCGCCCGCCUGUGGGCCUCUUUGAAGGGGGGUGUCGAGCUUGAAAGAGCCAGAGGUGGGGGUGGUGUGCUUAAGCCGGGACAAGGCACCUGUCAGGGGGUUCGGAAUUGGAGACGGAAGACUGAACCGUGGGUUUCGGCCCCAUUUCAUCAUGGUUGUCUGAGUCGCUUGUGUUUCCCCUCACAUGCGACCGUGAUUCCCGGGACAACUCCACAUUUCUGUCUGUCCUCUCCUUCUUUGGUUCCAGCAAGAGUCCCCUUGUGGAGGAGAAUGCGAUGCUGAGCAUCUAAAAGCAACAUUCUUCCUUCCCUUGAACUGCUUGUUUCAUCACCACAACCAUGCUCAAAUGGACAUUUUACUCACAUUGGCCACUAUUUUUUGCUUACAGUCUUCUUCAGAUCCCUUGAACUCCUUUGCAUUUUAAGGAUGUACAUUCUCUCUAUCCCUGAAUUGAUGCCAAAUGAAAACGCUCCAUGUGUUGGAAUUUCUCUUUGAGGUAACAAAAUCUGAGGUCAUUCUUCUCCAGUGAUAAUUCAUUUAACUAAACCAAAAUUAAACCUCACUAGUCUCCCUAAUCUGAUUUAUGCCUUCAUCUCACAAAAAUCAUGAAUGUUUUCUACAAAUUCUUUUUUCAAAAAAUUCUAAUUCAAUUCACUUUCAUUUUGUUUUUCUCCCAAUUACAUGUAACAAUAAUUUCCCACGUUUUUCAAAUAUUAGAGUCUGGAAUUCUCUCCUUUCCUCCCAUCCCUCCACUAACCACCCAUUUUAUUAUGGUAAACAAUCUUCUAUUGAUUUCACAUUUGCAAUCAUGUAAAACAUUUUCCCAUAUUAAUCCUUUUGUGGAAGGAAUCUAAAUUUUUUAAUAAAGAGAGAAAUAAAGGGAAUGUUUGCUAUGAU
ensembl:lncRNA